AGUACAAAGAUAAAAAUCUAAAGUGGUUGCUGUGGAGGACAGGGGUCAGUGGUGGAAGUGAGACUGAAAUGGACUCUGAAGUAAUAUCUGGACUUUGAAAUUGUUGCCUGUUCACUCUGGCUAGUCAUAUGCAGAAAACUGAAACUAGACCCCUUCCUGACACCUUAUAUAAAAAUUAACUCAAGAUGGAUUAAAGAUUUAAACGUAAGACCCAAAACCAGAAAAAUCCUAGAAGAAAACCUAGGCAAUACCAUUCAGGACAUAAGCAUGGGCAAAGACUUCAUGACUAAAACACCAAAAGCAAUGGCAGCAAAAGCCAAAAUUGACAAAAGGUUUCCUUAACGACAACAAAAAAGGGAGUAAUCCUACCUACUGUAAGAGUCAUGACUCUUGAUUGCAGCUGACAGAAGCUCAUGACAGCCUGGUUUAGAUAAAAGGGGAAAGGACGACUGGAAGAAUCUUGGAGUUGGGAAUAUGGCACAUAAUUGAAGGAAGAGCAAUAAAACUAUAGGAAAGAGCCCUGGGGUGGUGAUGUAGUCGUGGGCCAAGUGUCCUGGAACCCUGGGGUGGUGAUGUAGUCAUGGGC
rnacentral:lncRNA from 1 species